GUGAUGGGUCGCCCCACCGCGGCGCUUUCGGGCGACGAGGAAAGUCCGGGCAACGCAGAGCACCCUGCUUCCUAACGGGAAGGACUGGCGCGCAUAACGCAACCCAGGACAGCCAGUGCCACAGAAAAUUACCGCCGGACGGUGACUGAGCGACAGAGUAACUGAGUGAUAUAACACUGCGGCACUCAACCACUCAGUCGCAGCCGGUAAGGGUGAAAAGGUGCGGUAAGAGCGCACCAGCGGGCGGGUGACCGUCCCGGCUGGGUAAACCUCAGGGGUUGAAAGACCAAAUAAGCUGGUACGCCGGCGCUUCUUCGGAAGCAUCGGCACCGGGCGGCUCGUCCGGCGCCAGCGGGUAGGUUGAUGGAGCCUUUCCGCAAGGACUGGCCUAGAUAAAUGGUGGGGACGCGGCUUCGGCCGCGCACAAAACCCGGCUUACAGACCCAUCACCUGA
rnacentral:RNase_P_RNA from 2 species